rnacentral:lncRNA from 1 species
UGUUGUGCCUGAAAUCAUCCCUGGUCUUUGGAAAGGUUGGUGCUUGGUGCCUGAGAUCAUCCCUGGCUCUUUAGUUUGGUUGGUGCAUGGUGCCUGAAAACCUCUUAGGUCUUUGGUUGGGUUGGUGCUCUUUGCCCUAGUUCAUGCCUGUUCUUUGUUUUGGUUGGUGCUCGGUGCUGGAGAUCAUCCCUGGUCUUUGGUUGGAUUGGUGCUUGUGCCUGAGAACCUCUCAGGUCUUUGGUUGGGUUGUUGCUGUACAAUAUUUUGUUAUCAGUGUAGACAAUUUUCUGUCAUUUCUUUUGGUUAUGUGUUGUCUUGUCUUUUUUCACCACAUGGUUUAAUAUUGGCCCUUUGGUAUAUUCCUUUUUUUG